rnacentral:rRNA from 1 species
GGACGAACGCUGGCGGCGUGCUUACCCCAUGCAAGUCGAACGGAAAGGCCCUGCUUUUGUGGGGUGCUCGAGUGGCGAACGGGUGAGUAACACGUGAGUAACCUGCCCUUGACUUUGGGAUAACUUCAGGAAACUGGGGCUAAUACCGGAUAGGAGCUCCUGCUGCAUGGUGGGGGUUGGAAAGUUUCGGCGGUUGGGGAUGGACUCGCGGCUUAUCAGCUUGUUGGUGGGGUAGUGGCUUACCAAGGCUUUGACGGGUAGCCGGCCUGAGAGGGUGACCGGCCACAUUGGGACUGAGAUACGGCCCAGACUCCUACGGGAGGCAGCAGUGGGGAAUAUUGCACAAUGGGCGGAAGCCUGAUGCAGCAACGCCGCGUGCGGGAGGACGGCCUUCGGGUGGUAAACCGCUUUCGCCUGUGACGAAGCGUGAGUGACGGUAAUGGGUAAAGAAGCACCGGCUAACUACGU